UACGAAGGGUGCUAGCGUUGUUCGGAAUCACUGGGCGUAAAGGGCGUGUAGGCGGACGGGAUAGUCAGAUGUGAAAUCCCUGGGCUCAACCCAGGAACUGCAUUUGAAACUCCCCUUCUUGAGUACCGGAGAGGAAAGUGGAAUUCCUGGUGUAGAGGUGAAAUUCGUAGAUAUCAGGAGGAACACCAGUGGCGAAGGCGGCUUUCUGGACGGUAACUGACGCUGAGACGCGAAAGCGUGGGGAGCAAACAGG
rnacentral:rRNA from 1 species